GGCUCAGAAUGAACGCUGGCGGCAUGGAUUAGGCAUGCAAGUCGUACGAGAAUCCUCUCUUCGGAGAGGAGGACAGUGGCGAAAGGGUGAGUAACACGUGAGUAUCUACCUCCAGGUCGGGAACAGCCCGCGGAAACGCGGAUUAAUGCCCGAUGGUCCCUUCGGGGUAAAGAGGAAUCGCCCGGAGACGAGCUCGCGGCCCAUCAGCUUGUUGGCGGGGUAACGGCCCACCAAGGCGACGACGGGUAGGUGGUCUGAGAGGAUGGUCACCCACACUGGGACUGAGAUACUGCCCAGACUCCUACGGGAGGCUGCAGUCGAGAAUCAUCCGCAAUGGGCGAAAGCCUGACGGUGCAAUGCCGCGUGGGGGAUGAAGGCCUUCGGGUCGUAAACCCCUGUCAGAGGGGACGAAAAACAUGACGGUACCCUCAGAGGAAGCCACGGCUAACUACGUGCCAGCAGCCGCGGUAAUACGUAGGUGGCGAGCGUUAUUCGGAUUUACUGGGCGUAAAGGGUCCGCAGGGGGUUUGCCGAGUCCGAUGUGAAAGUCCGCAGCUCAACUGCGGAACUGCGUCGGAUACUGGUGAACUUGAGUGCGCGAAGGGCGAGCGGAAUUCCAGGUGUAGCGGUGGAAUGCGUAGAUAUCUGGAAGAACACCGGCGGCGAAAGCGGCUCGCUGGCGCGCCACUGACCCUCAUGGACGAAAGCGUGGGGAGCGAACAGGAUUAGAUACCCUGGUAGUCCACGCUGUAAACGGUGCAGACUCGAUGCGGGGGGCGGUCCCCUCCGUGUCUAAGCCAACGCGUUAAGUCUGCCGCCUGGGGACUACGGCCGCAAGGCUAAAACUCAAAGGAAUUGACGGUGGCCCGCACAAGCGGUGGAGCAUGUGGCUUAAUUCGAGGCAACGCGAAGAACCUUACCCGG
rnacentral:rRNA from 1 species